AUACUUACCUGGUGCUGGGGUCUCGUUGGUCACCGAGUACGAGCCUCCAGGGCGGGCCAUGCACUGCUUUCGUGUUGACCUUUGUCACUAUCCCGAACGGGGGAGAUGGGGCAUGCAUCUUGCUUCAAUCCGCAAGAGAGGGCGGC
rnacentral:snRNA from 1 species